UACAGAGGGGGCAAGCGUUGUUCGGAAUUACUGGGCGUAAAGGGCGCGUAGGCGGCCUUCUAAGUCGAACGUGAAAUCCCUGGGCUCAACCCAGGAACUGCGUCCGAUACUGGAAGGCUUGAAUCCGGGAGAGGGAUGCGGAAUUCCAGGUGUAGCGGUGAAAUGCGUAGAUAUCUGGAGGAACACCGGUGGCGAAGGCGGCAUCCUGGACCGGUAUUGACGCUGAGGCGCGAAAACCAGGGGAGCAAACGGG
rnacentral:rRNA from 1 species